rnacentral:rRNA from 1 species
GACGAACGCUGGCGGCGUGCUUAACACAUGCAAGUCGAACGGAAAGGCCCUGCUUUUGUGUGUUGCUCGAGUGGCGAACGGGUGAGUAACACAUGAGUAACCUGCCCUUGACUUUGGGAUAACUUCAGGAAACUGGGGCUAAUACCUGAUAUGAUCUCCUGCUGCAUGGUGGUGGUUGGAAAGUUUCGGCGUUUGGGUAUGGACUCGCGGCUUAUCAGCUUGUUGGUGGGGUAGUGGCUUACCAAGGCUUUGACGGGUAGCCGGCCUGAGAGGGUGACCGGCUACAUUGGGACUGAGAUACGGACCAGAAUCCUACGGGAGGCAGCAGUGGGGAAUAUUGCACAAUGGGCGGAAGCCUGAUGCAGCAACGCCGCGUGCGGGAUGACGGCCUUCGGGUUGUAAACCGCUUUCGACUGUGACGAAGCGUGAGUGACGGUAAUGGGUAAAGAAGCACCGGCUAACUACGUG